CCUACGGGCGGCUGCAGUGGGGAAUAUUGGACAAUGGGGGCAACCCUGAUCCAGCCAUGCCGCGUGUGUGAAGAAGGCCCUCGGGUUGUAAAGCACUUUCAGUGAGGAAGAACGCCUGGUGGUUAAUACCCAUCAGGAAAGACAUCACUCACAGAAGAAGCACCGGCUAACUCCGUGCCAGCAGCCGCGGUAAUACGGAGGGUGCGAGCGUUAAUCGGAAUACUGGGCGUAAAGCGCGCGUAGGUGGCUUGAUAAGCCGGUUGUGAAAGCCCCGGGCUCAACCUGGGAACGGCAUCCGGAACUGUCAAGCUAGAGUGCAGGAGAGGAAGGUAGAAUUCCCGGUGUAGCGGUGAAAUGCGUAGAGAUCGGGAGGAAUACCAGUGGCGAAGGCGGCCUUCUGGACUGACACUGACACUGAGGUGCGAAAGCGUGGGUAGCAAACAGGAUUAGAUACCCUGGUAGUC
rnacentral:rRNA from 1 species